GUAUGCCCGCUGCUGUAUGUGAAGCCAAUUCCAAUAACAGCACUCCCACUGCCAGCCCUUGCCAACAGAGGACAGCCACUCCUGAGCUUCCCAGUGAUGCAGGAGCCCUUUUGUGCACUACAUUCCUUGUCCCUUUGGUAAAUCAAUGUAAAGAGAUACAGACUCUCUUACUGCCAAUUCACUUUAUUCCCGGGGCCUCGUCUCACCUGUCUCAAAAGUGAACUUCGUAUUUGGUUGUCGGGAUUCAGAAACACAUUCUGGAUAAGGAUGGAGCAUCACAGGACGGCUCGUGUCGGAGGAAGGGAUUUCUCCUGGGUUGUGCUGUUGUUAAUCACUCCAGAUACGUCUGAACGACAACAAACUCCCCAAGGGUUCCUUUCGAAAGCUCACACUUUGUUCUCCAAAGCCAUUGGGCCAAACAGCAACCAACAAACACAAAACAGCCCAUUUAAGAAAUCAAUACAGAGCCAGUCUUGAUGACCUAGUGGUUAAAGUUUGGUGCUCACUGAGUUUGCUGCGGCGGCCCGGGUUCGCUUCCAGGAUGCAGAACCACACCACCCAACUGUCAGGUGCCAUGCUGUGGGGGCGGCUCACACAGAAGAACCAGAAAGACUUACAACCAUGAG
rnacentral:lncRNA from 1 species